rnacentral:rRNA from 1 species
UAUUGGUCAAUGGGCGAGAGCCUGAACCAGCCAAGUCGCGUGAGGGAGUACUGCCCUAUGGGUUGUAAACCUCUUUUGUCGGGGAGCAAAAGCCGGACGUGUCCGUCUGUGAGAGUACCCGAAGAAAAAGCAUCGGCUAACUCCGUGCCAGCAGCCGCGGUAAUACGGAGGAUGCGAGCGUUAUCCGGAUUUAUUGGGUUUAAAGGGUGCGCAGGCGGAUUUUUAAGUCAGCGGUCAAAUCGUGGGGCUCAACCCCAUCCAGCCGUUGAAACUGGGGAUCUAGAGUGUGCGAGAGGUAUGCGGAAUGCGUGGUGUAGCGGUGAAAUGCAUAGAUAUCACGCAGAACUCCGAUUGCGAAGGCAGCAUACCGGCGCUCAACUGACGCUGAGGCACGAAAGCGUGGGGAUCGAACAGGA